AAUAAUUCAUUAUAACUUUUUUUUUUUUCCUAAAAAGACUGAUUUCUUAAAGACUGUGCCAGUUCUUUUGCAUUGCUAUGCUGAGACCCAGAGGUUGUGAGCUUUCCUGCCUGAGGCUGUUUUCUUCAUCAGACGCUUUCAAGUACCCUGGGAAGUUGUGUCUAAGGCUGGAGAAUACGAGGUGUGAAAUAUGAACAAUGGACCAGGCCUGGCAGGGAGGUGUUUCCAGCAGUGCAGUGGUAAGACCAACAGACUUAAUCUGAAACAGAAGCACCAUUAGAAAUUGAAAAUGCUUUCAGCACUGGGUCAAAACCAUCACUCCAAGUCUAGUGUGUGAGUGCCAAAGAUGAUAUCGUGGUCUCUGUGGCUGCUCUUGUCCCAACCAAGACCUGAGUUUAUUGCCCAU
rnacentral:lncRNA from 1 species